rnacentral:lncRNA from 1 species
GCUCUUGGUAACCAGCAUCAGCAUAGAAGUUUGUAUUCCAGAGGUUCAGGCUGAGACAUUCCUGAUUAGGCUGGUCAUAAUGGGAGUAGAAGAGGUCUUUCCCCUGGAAGUGAGAUGGAGAUGGAGACAGGCUCUGGAGAAUAGCUUCGCUGAACUGGUACGUCAGCUUCCUGCAGAUUUUCGUGAUCUCCCCAGUCCUGGCAAAGUUCCUCAGGGCUCUGGCCAUCUUCUAAGAUUGAAAAAGGUAUUCAAGCAGCCGAAGCUUCCUCCUGCCUUUUCCUCCUUUUGGCUGGAAGAGGGAGACUUGUCCCAGCUGGUUUGCAUUUAUGCUCUGCAGAGGUUCCUGGAGACUUUCUUCCAAAUACAAGUCCGCAGAACCAUUUCUUCUCCAGGUAUAGGCCGGAUCUUGGUGAAGUCAGUUUUCCCAGAUUUUGUGGGGCUGCUGAUCUGUUAUUUGGACUCCUGCCUUGGCAAGGAGUUUAGA